rnacentral:rRNA from 1 species
AUACGGAGGGCGCAAACGUUGUUCGGAAUUACUGGGCGUAAAGCGCGCGUAGGCGGUUUGUUAAGUCAGAUGUGAAAGUGCACAGCUCAACUGUGGAAGUGCAUUUGAAACUGGCAGACUUGAGUACUGGAGGGGGUGGUGGAAUUCCCGGUGUAGAGGUGAAAUUCGUAGAUAUCAGGAGGAAUACCGGUGGCGAAGGCGACCACCUGGCCAGAUACUGACGCUGAGGUGCGAAAGCGUGGGGAGCAAACAGGAUUAGAUACCCUAGUAGUCC